GACGGGGGGGGCAAGUGUUCUUCGGAAUUACUGGGCGUAAAGCGCACGUAGGCGGACUUGUCAGUCAGGGGUGAAAUCCCGAGGCUUAACCUCGGAACUGCCUUUGAUACUGCAAGUCUUGAGGAUGAGAGAGGUAAGUGGAACUGCGAGUGUAGAGGUGAAAUUCGUAGAUAUUCGCAAGAACACCAGUGGCGAAGGCGGCUUACUGGCUCAUUUCUGACGCUGAGGUGCGAAAGCGUGGGGAGCAAACAGG
rnacentral:rRNA from 1 species